rnacentral:rRNA from 1 species
UACGUAGGGUCCGAGCGUUGUCCGGAGUUACUGGGCGUAAAGCGCGCGCAGGCGGCGGUGCUGGCCCGGCGUGAAAGCCCCCGGCUCAACCGGGGAAGGUCGUCGGGGACCGCACCGCUUGAGGGCGGUAGGGGCUGGUGGAAUGCCUGGUGUAGUGGUGAAAUGCGUAGAGAUCAGGCGGAACACCCGUGGCGAAGGCGGCCAGCUGGGCCGUCCCUGACGCUGAGGCGCGAAGGCGUGGGGAGCGAACGGG